AGCGCAGGCGGGAAGACAAGUUGGAAGUGAAAUCCAUGGGCUCAACCCAUGAACUGCUUUCAAAACUGUUUUUCUUGAGUAGUGCAGAGGUAGGCGGAAUUCCCGGUGUAGCGGUGGAAUGCGUAGAUAUCGGGAGGAACACCAGUGGCGACGGCGGCCUACUGGGCACCAACUGAUGCUGAGGCUCGAAAGUGUGGGUAGCAAACA
rnacentral:rRNA from 1 species